GAUAAGGGAGCUGCGGGGGAGGAGAGGCAGCCAGCUGAGACUAUCGCCUGCCUGAGGAACAGCUAGCCUGUUCCCAACCACCCACACACCACCCUGGGUUGUGGGGGAUGGGGGAAGAGGAGAGGGCAGAGCGGGGAGGGAACAAGGGGCAAGCACCUGCAAAUAAAUGGCAGGGGCCAUUUAUUAAUGGCUCUCUUAAAAUGGCAGGGGCCUCCAGCUAACAGGGACAGAGCAUCACUGUGAGGCCUCUGGUGCCCCCUUAACCCUCCCCUUAACACCUGCAGGACCCUCCCCCUGCAAGAGGCAAGGAGGGCACUCAGCUUGGCUGCAAAGUGGCGAGUUUGGGAGGGGCAGCAGCUUGGUGUCUUUAAAAGUACAGGCAAAAACAAACAAACAAACAAAAAAACCAAAACAAAACCCAAAAAAACAAAAACAAAAAAACAAAAACAAACACACACAAAAAUAAAAUAAAAGCACAGGCAGUCUUUGGAAUCACACAGAUGUGAAUUCAAAUCCCGCCUAUGCCAGCACUUUCAACUGUGUGAUCUGGGCGUUUCUGAGUCAGUUUGCCUUCCUGUGAAAUGGGGCUAAUGAUCCCUGGUCCUUGCAAGGAUUUUGAGAAAAUUCACAUCCAUGUAUGUACACGUGUGGCUCGAAAACAGAAGGCAGCAUGAAGAAGGGUCAGACUCCUAGGUUCAAAUCCCAGCUCCGGUUCUAUCUGGCCCAGGAAUGCUUAUUGCUCUACUCGAAAGGGGAGGGGGGCACCCACCUGACAAGGACUUCACCAGUGGAACAGUGAUUCUCUCACUCAGCAGCCGUCUUGAUGAUGCCACCCCAGACCCCUGGAGAUUCACAUUUCUGUGGGGGCUUACUCCCCAAAUGACUAGGGCUUGGGACAUGGAGGACGUGGAUGAAAAGCGCUCUGUCUGCAUUCUACCAAUGUCUUCUUCACUCUUCAGUCACAGGUCUGGAGAGAUUAGGUGGCAAACACUCAAAGCUGUUGGUUGGAAGCAGAACUCCUUGGGGCAGGUGUAA
rnacentral:lncRNA from 1 species